rnacentral:rRNA from 1 species
UGGGGAAUAUUGCGCAAUGGGGGAAACCCUGACGCAGCGACGCCGCGUGUGGGAUGAAGGUCUUCGGAUUGUAAACCACUGUCGCGAGGGACGAAGCUCUGACGGUACCUCGAAAGGAAGCACCGGCUAACUCUGUGCCAGCAGCCGCGGUAAGACGGAAGGUGCAAGCGUUGCUCGGAAUCACUGGGCGUAAAGGGUGCGUAGGCGGCUGUGUAAGUCUGGCGUGAAAGCCCAGGGCUCAGCCCUGGAAGGGCGCUAGAAACUGCGCGGCUAGAGUGCCGGAGGGGAGAGUGGAAUUCCUGGUGUAGCGGUGAAAUGCGUAGAUAUCAGGAGGAAUACCGGUGGCGAAAGCGACUCUCUGGACGGCAACUGACGCUGAGGCACGAAAGCGUGGGGAGCAAACAGGAUUAGAUACCCCUGUAGUCCCUGAGCGGGCUGGCAAGGCGCAU